rnacentral:rRNA from 1 species
ACGGGAGGCAGCAGUGGGGAAUAUUGGACAAUGGGGGAAACCCUGAUCCAGCGACGCCGCGUGAGUGAAGAAGUAUUUCGGUAUGUAAAGCUCUAUCAGCAGGGAAGAUAAUGACGGUACCUGACUAAGAAGCCCCGGCUAACUGCGUGCCAGCAGCCGCGGUAAUACGUAGGGGGCAAGCGUUAUCCGGAUUUACUGGGUGUAAGGGGAGCGUAGACGGCAUAGCAAGUCUGAAGUGAAAGGCAGGGGCUCAACCCCUGGACUGCUUUGGAAACUGUUAAGCUAGAGUGCAGGAGAGGUAAGUGGAAUUCCUAGUGUAGCGGUGAAAUGCGUAGAUAUUAGGAGGAACACCAGUGGCGAAGGCGGCUUACUGGACUGUAACUGACGUUGAGGCUCGAAAGCGUGGGGAGCAAACAGGAUUAGAUACCCUGGUA